ACAAACAACAAAUAAUCAGCUGGUCAGAAACGUCUAAUGGAACGUUUAAUUCUAGUUUCUAGAGCUUAGCCUUUUUAUAUAGUUAACUGUAAUCGUUGUUCGGUUGUUUAAUAUGUAGAUAGUAUAAUAUGUUGUUACCUUAGCAAUUCAGCUUUAAAUCUUAAUUAUUUUUACUGUGAAAGGAAGUGCAAUUUACCGGAAAGUAGAUUCUGUUUCGUCUUCAUUUGGGAUAAUAGUUAACUGCAAUAUUACAAUAACAUGGAUAAUAUCAACAACCUUCCGUUAGAGCUGUUAGAACAUAUUUUCGACUACCUCAGUGUUGGCGAACGAAAAAAUGUGUACACUGUUUGCAGCUUGUGGUACAGUAUUUUACACGAUUCCAACGCCAAUGUCAGACAUCACUUACUGGCACUUUCGAAGACGACCUGAAUGAUUUGGAAAAACGAGUUCUUCGGUGUUUUCGAAAUCUUUCAAUAACUCACUGGGACGUUCUGGAUGACGACGAAGAAAUGGAGCAGGAUGCAAAUGAACAAGAAAAAGAUGAUGUCAUACAGUUGAAGUACCUUUACGAACCAACACCAGAGCAACGUCUGUCCGAGCUUCUAAUUGGAUUGGAAGAUCUCGAGGGUCUGGAACUAUUUAGUUCUUUUGAAAGUUGCCGACAGAUUCUCGAGAAUAUUUUAUCUCGAUUUACGAAUUUACGUGAGCUUUUUUUCUUCUUCGGCCAAUCGCGAAGUCAAACGCAAGAUUCAACACUUUGGAUCAUCCGACAUCGUCGAAUAGAAACGCUUAAAAUAGACGGUGCGAGCAAACCUUUUGAAGCAAUAGUACCGAAUUUAACUUGUCUAGAGCUACUAUCAAAUUGUCGCUGGAGCUAUCAGAUAAUUGAGACAUACUGCAGGCAGUUGCAAUCUCUGAAAGCUGAUUUUCAAGACGCAGAAACUAUGGACAAUAUUAUUUCGCUGUCUUUUCCUUGUCUAACUGUUUUGCAGGUUCGAAUGUCUGAUGACAAAGAAAUAUAGGUUCGAUACGCUCGAACCCGCAAUAAGUACGAAGAUGAGGAAAAGGAGGAACAAUUUGUUAUAGGAAUGCCAAGACUGAAAAAUCUACAAAUCGAAAGCAAUCUAAUGCUUUUUCGAAUUGGACCAGCCCUUUCAAAAUUUGCUAAUCAACUUGUCGAGUUAAACUUGGAAGACCUGCAUAUUGAUUUAGCACAAAUUAAAGUUAUCGAAAUGAUGUUACAGAUUAAGACACUCAGCAUACAGCGCUGCCAGAUACUAACGCCAUCCCAAUCUCUAGUAUCGCUGAAUUUACCACACCUGAGGAGUCUUGUUUUGAUUAGCAACGAACCUGAUAUUUCGUUCAUAAGUGGUCUCUCAGGACUUCAAUCGUUGAAGGUGUCAGUUUGUUCAUUGAGAAACCACAAAGUGUUGCAUAAAAUAUGUAACAACUUGUCAAAUCUGGAACAUCUAGAAAUACUCACAUACAGAACGAUGUGUAAUACAGCUCUUCGAUAUCUGCAUAAACUGACCAAGCUAAGAUCGUUAAUAUUUAAAGAAUGCGUACCAAAGACACGGCUUUGGGUGCACUGUUCGGUGACACCUAAUCUCCGGAGGGUAGUUUUCAACAGUUGCACUCUGAAUACAUCCACGCUUCGACCUCUGGCAACAUUAUUUCCCGGUCUCAGUGAACUCUUCCUAGAUGGAUGCUACGUAGAAUGCUGUGAUGAAGAAAUCUGUACGAACAAUGAAAGUGAGUGCCUUUCGGAUAUGGACACCGAGGGUAAGAGCAUGUGUUUGCAGCAAUUAAAAACGCUUUUUCCGCUGCACACGAUCUCGUUGAACGAAUCCUCGUUGUGCUGGAAGUAUUGUUGAUAUCUGUGUUGCUUUAGGGAAUAAAAUCAGUCGAACAAUCAA